UUUGCAACGUAGGGGUCCUGCUGGCGUUCGCGAUUAUGGAAUUCCAGGGGUGAGAAACACCCUCCGAACCUGAUGCGGGUAAUGCCGCCGAAGGGAAGCGUUCGCGAAAGCCGC
rnacentral:ncRNA from 1 species